CACCUUGACUCACUUGCCAAUAUGCCAAUUCAUAUCUCUUUAACUUGACUUGUAAAUAUCUCGGUUCUUCUCUCUCUACCAUAAGAUCCUUAUCUUUUUUCUCUAUCUAAUGAUCUAAGUACUAUAAAAAGGGGUUGUGCCUAUGAACCCAAAAGGAAAAAAGGAAAGAUGGCUAAGAAUAAUAAGGCACUUCUCAUUCUUUGCAUCCUAAUGUUUUCAACUGUUUUCAUCCCAACAAAGACACUGGCUGCACGCGCACUUGCGGAGAUUUCUCCAAACAAUGAAUCAACAGAAGUCAGGCAACCUGUAUGGCCAUGGCGGUAUCAAGUCCUCUGCUCUUAUUAAGUGCACAAUUUAUAAGAGAUGCCGGGGUGGCAGAGGUCCUCCACCAUCUCCUUGAGCGAUGGAAAUAUAUUGCAGCUUGGGCGGCCGUACAUCUUUAUCAGAAUCUCUCUCUCUAUCAAAUGUGUUGUGUGCUCUAUAGAUGGAAGAAAAUGCUAUCAGGAAAAAUAAGAUUGAGAUUUAUGUUUUGCAUUAUAUAGUGUGUGUGUGUGCAAUGUUCUCAUGAUGAAGCUAUUAGUAUAUAUAUUAGUGUAGAUCCUCUUUGGAUUGAAUACAUAUAUAUAUAUAUAUAUAUAUACUUUUAUUUC